GUGAAAUUGUUGAAAGGGAAGGGAUUGCAACCAGACUUGCUCGCGGUGUUCCGCCGGUCUUCUGACCGGUCUACUCGCCGCGUUGCAGGACAGCAUCGUCUGGUGCCGCUGGAUAAGACUUGAGGAAUGUAGCUCCCUCGGGAGUGUUAUAGCCUCUUGUGAUGCAGCGAGCGCCGGGCGAGGUCCGCGCUUCGGCUAGGAUGCUGGCGUAAUGGUCGUAAUCCGCCCGUCUUGAAACACGGACCAAGGAGUC
rnacentral:rRNA from 1 species